CCUCCUUUUCUUGGCGGGGACCAGGCAUAAAGUGCCACUCCCAUUAUGCAUGGAGACAGAGGAAAAGGGCCGUGAUCCCCUCUGUGUCAUGUCUUCAGUGCCGGCUGCUUCCCAUCUGCGGUUCUAUCUGUUCUAUCUUCAAGCGCCAAGACAAGG